AACGUAGGAGGCAAGCGUUAUCCGAAUUUACUGGGCGUAAAGCGUGUGCAGGCGGCUUGAUAAGUUGGGUGUGAAAUCUCCCGGCUCAACUGGGAGAGGUCGCUCAAGACUGUCAGGCUGGAGGGCAGUAGAGGGUGGUGGAAUUCCCGGUGUAGUGGUGAAAUGCGUAGAUAUCGGGAGGAACACCUGUGGCGAAAGCGGCCACCUGGACUGUACCUGACGCUGAGACACGAAAGCUAGGGGAGCGAACGGG
rnacentral:rRNA from 1 species